AAAAAGCUUCAAACUGGGAUUAGAUACCCCACUAUGCUUAGCCAUAAACAAAGACAUUAAUAUACAACAAUGUUCGCCCGGACACUACAAGCAUAAGCUUAAAACCCAAAGGACCUGACGGUGCCUUAGACCCCCCUAGAGGAGCCUGUUCUAGAACUGAUUAUCCCCGUUAAACCUCACCAUUCCUAGUAAUAUCAGCCUAUAUACCACCGUCGCCAGCUUACCCUGUGAAGGCAUAAAAGUAAGCAAGAUGGGUAAAACCCAAAAAGUCAGGUCGAGGUGUAGCAUAUGGAGUGGGAAGAAAUGGGCUACAUUUUCUAACACAGAAUAUAACGAAUAUGUAUACAUGAAAAAAUACUUGAAGGAGGAUUUAGUAGUAAAAGAGAAACAGAGUGUCUCUUUGAACCCGG
rnacentral:rRNA from 1 species